GGCGGCGUAGCUCAGUGGAUAGAGCACCCUGCUUCACUACGUACCGAGGUUCGCACCCACAUGGUACGGGCAGGGAGGUCGCGGGUUCAAGUCCCGCCGCCGUUC
rnacentral:tRNA from 1 species